rnacentral:ncRNA from 2 species
GGGAGUUGAUUUCAAGAACGGAUCGUAGUACUGAUCGAGACGCUUGCUACUGGAGAAUUCGACUUCCAAUAGCAACGCCCUUUCGAUUAGUUCUGCAAUCAAAAAAAGCAUCGCAUACCA